GCAGGGCUGGAGCCCAGGCUGGGGCAGGGGCUGGGCAUGGGGCAGGACCAUUGUGUCCCAGCAGGUCUGGGCUCUCCGGAGGCUGAACUGAGGUCCUGUGCUUCUGGUGCAGGGGUGCCAGGAGCAGGCGGCUCCUUGAGGAAAGCUGCUCGCUGCCCCUUCCCAUCAGGUAGCUGCAGUGAAACAAGAGGCUGUCUCCAAUGUGCCACUAGGGUGGAGGGACUUCCCUGUUACUCACUCCUAUCAGGUGUCAUUGAUGCAUGAUGCUAAAGCUGUUUCCCUGGGACACGUGGGAACCGGACUUGAGCAAGGAAGGUCAAAGUGAAAUGAAAGCAGCAGUGCUCAUCUCAAGCUUUGUUCACAGUUCUGCAAGAGGAGAAGCACUGUGGAGAAAGUGGUGGCUGGCUGUGUGCCCGUUCCUCGGGUGGUCCCACUUGGAAUCCCUCUUCCAGGGAAGGCUAACCAUGAAGUAGAUGCAAAUGCUCUUCUAGAAAUGAAAUCCGGUCUGAGUAAGAGCUUUGAAUCCAGAUGGCAACACAUCCUGAAUGCAGACAUCUCCUGCCAGUGAAUACACCCACUUGCAUUGGACAUGAGUCACCAGUAGCUCCACAGCUGCAGCCCCAAACCAGCAUCCGUGUACAGGUAAUUGAGAAUAAAUCUAACAAAAGAGCAGUUUACCUCCUGGCAUGCACGUUUCUAACAGGUGACUUAGUUAAAAAUUGGUAGAUCCAGC